rnacentral:rRNA from 1 species
UACGUAGGGUGCGAGCGUUAAUCGGAAUUACUGGGCGUAAAGCGUGCGCAGGCGGUUUUGUAAGCCAGAUGUGAAAUCCCCGGGCUUAACCUGGGAAUGGCAUUUGGGACUGCAAGGCUGGAGUACGGCAGAGGAGACUGGAAUUCCUGGUGUAGCGGUGAAAUGCGUUGAUAUCAGGAGGAACACCCAUGGCGAAGGCAGCAAACUGGGCAUUAACUGACGCUGAGGCGCGAAAGCGUGGGUAGCAAACAGG